UCUAGUGAUUAUAACUAUUUUGGUAAUACCUGUUCCCAUUCCGAACACAGAAGUCAAGCAGAAUAGUGCCAAAAAUACUUGCGGGUUACCCUGCUGGGAAGAUAGGUUGUCGCUAGAU
rnacentral:rRNA from 1 species